AGAAUGAACGUUGGCGGCGUGGAUUAGGCAUGCAAGUCGGACGGGCCGCAAGGCCAGUGGCGCAAGGGUGAGUAAGGCGAAGGUAACCAACCCCGCGGAUGGGCAUAGCCGAGGGAAACCUCGGGUAAUUCCCGGCGACGUGACGACCCGGCAUCGGGAUGUCACCAAAGAUUCAUCGCCUCGGGACGGGCCUUCGUGGUAUUAGCUUGUUGGCGGGUGACGGCCCAC
rnacentral:rRNA from 1 species